rnacentral:rRNA from 1 species
GGACUACCCGGGUUUCUAAUCCUGUUUGCUCCCCACGCUUUCGUGUCUCAGCGUCAGUGGCCGUCCAGAAAGCCGUCUACACCACCGGUGUUCCUCCUGAUAUCUACGCAUUUCACCGCUACACCAGGAAUUCCGCUUUCCUCUCCGGCACUCUAGCCAGGCAGUUUUCGGCGCACCCUCCCAGUUAAGCCGGGAGAUUUCACACAGAACUUACCCAACCGCCUACACACUCUUUACGCCCAGUAAUUCCGAACAACGCUUGCUGCCUACGUAUUACCGCGGCUGCUGGCAC